CAGCAGCCGCGGUAAUACAGAGGGUGCGAGCGUUAAUCGGAUUUACUGGGCGUAAAGCGUGCGUAGGCGGCUUUUUAAGUCGGAUGUGAAAUCCCUGAGCUUAACUUAGGAAUUGCAUUCGAUACUGGGAAGCUAGAGUAUGGGAGAGGAUGGUAGAAUUCCAGGUGUAGCGGUGAAAUGCGUAGAAAUCUGGAGGAAUACCGAUGGCGAAGGCAGCCAUCUGGCCUAAUACUGACGCUGAGGUACGAAAGCAUGGGGAGCAAACAGGAUUAGAGACCCGAGUAGUCCCUGUCUCUUAUAC
rnacentral:rRNA from 1 species